rnacentral:rRNA from 1 species
CGCCUGGGGAGUGCGGUCGCAAGAUUAAAACUCAAAGGAAUUGACGGGGACCCGCACAAGCGGUGGAUGAUGUGGAUUAAUUCGAUGCAACGCGAAGAACCUUACCUGGUCUUGACAUGUACGGAACCCUCCAGAGACGGAGGGGUGCCUUCGGGAGCCGUAACACAGGUGCUGCAUGGCUGUCGUCAGCUCGUGUCGUGAGAUGUUGGGUUAAGUCCCGCAACGAGCGCAACCCUUGUCAUUAGUUGCCAUCAUUAAGUUGGGCACUCUAAUGAGACUGCCGGUGGCAAGCCGGAGGAAGGUGGGGAUGACGUCAAGUCCUCAUGGCCCUUAUGACCAGGGCUUCACACGUCAUACAAUGGUCGGUACAGAGGGUAGCCAAGCCGCGAGGUGGAGCCAAUCUCACAAAACCGAUCGUAGUCCGGAUUGCACUCAGCAACUCGAGUGCAUGAAGUCGGAAUCGCUAGUAAUCGCAGGUCAGCAUACUGCGGUGAAUACGUUCCCGGGUCUUGUACACACCGCCCGUCACACCAUGGGAGUGGGGGAUACCAGAAGUAGGUAGGGUAACCGCAAGGAGCCCGCUUACCACGGUAUGCUUCAUGACUGGGGUGAAGUCGUAACAAGGUAACCGUA